rnacentral:rRNA from 1 species
AUUGAACGCUGGCGGCGUGCCUAACACAUGCAAGUCGAGCGGUAACAGGUGUAGCAAUACAUGCUGACGAGCGGCGGACGGGUGAGUAACGCUUGGGAAUCUGCCUAUUAGUGGGGGACAACCCGGGGAAACGUCGGGCUAAUACCGCAUACGCUCUACGGAGGAAAGCCGGGGACCGCAAGGCCUGGCGCUAAUAGAUGAGCCCAAGUCGGAUUAGCUAGUUGGUAGGGUAANGGCCUACCAAGGCGACGAUCCGUAACUGGUCUGAGAGGACGACCAGUCACACCGGAACUGAGACACGGUCCGGACUCCUACGGGAGGCAGCAGUGGGGAAGUAUUGGACAAUGGGCGAAAGCCUGAUCCAGCGACGCCGCGUGGGUGAAGAAGGCCUGCGGGUUGUAAANCCCUUUCAGUGGGGAAGAAAAGCCUCGACCUAACACGUCGGGGUCUUGACGUAA